GACGAACGCUGGCGGCGUGCCUAAUACAUGCAAGUCGAACGAAGCUUUUUUAACUGGUGCUUGCACCGACUUAAACAACUGAGUGGCGAACGGGUGAGUAACACGUGGGUAACCUGCCCCAAAGCGGGGGAUAACAUUUGGAAGCAGAUGCUGAUACCGCAUAACCACAGAAACCACAUGGUUUCUGUGUCAAAGAUGGUUUCGGCUAUCACUUUGGGAUGGACCCGCGGCGUAUUAGCUAGUUGGUAAGGUAAUGGCUUACCAAGGCAAUGAUGCGUAGCCGAAAUGAGAGCGUGAUCGGCCACAUCGGGACUGAGACACGGCCCAAACGCCUACGGGAGGCAGCAGUAGGGAAUCUUCCACAAUGGACGAAAGUCUGAUGGAGCAACGCCGCGUGAGUGAAGAAGGUUUUCGGAUCGUAAAACGCUGUUGUCAGAGAAGAACGUGUGCGAGAGUAACUGUUCGUGCAGUGACGGUAUCUGGCCAGAAAGCCACGGCUAACUACGUGCCAGCCGCCGCCGUAA
rnacentral:rRNA from 1 species